CAGAGAAUAGUUUAUAAAAAAUAUUAAUUUUGGAGAUUAAAGUUGGAAGUUUUUUUCUUCUCUGA
rnacentral:tRNA from 1 species